UGCAAAAUCCUUGCUCCUAUGUGCUGGUU
rnacentral:piRNA from 1 species